GAUUAACGCUAGCGGCAGGCAUAAUACAUGCAAGUUGAACGAGAUAAGUUUUAGCAAUAGAACUUUGAAAGUGGCGCACGGGUGCGUAACACGUAUGCAACCUACCUUUUACUGGGGAAUAGCCUCUCGAAAGAGAGAUUAAUACCCCAUAAUAUAUUGAUAAGGCAUCUUAUUAAUAUUAAAGUUACGGCGGUAAAAGAUGGGAAUGCGGCUGAUUAGGUAGUUGGUGAGGUAAUGGCUCACCAAGCCGACGAUCAGUAGGGGGUCUGAGAUGAUGUCCCCCCACACUGGUACGGAGGCACGGACCAGACUUCUACGGGAGGCAGCAGUAAGGAAUAUUGGACAAUGGGCGCAAGCCUGAUCCAGCCAUGCCGCGUGCAGGAUGAAGGCCCUAUGGGUCGUAAACUGCUUUUGUACGGGAAGAAACCUCACUACGUGUAGUGAGUUGACGGUACCGUGAGAAUAAGGAUCGGCUAACUUCGUGCCAGCAGCCGCAGUAA
rnacentral:rRNA from 1 species